AAGGUUUAAGCCCUAGCUCUCUUUCGAAGAGGAGCGGCCAAGAACUAAUGGGCCAAACCCUUUGUAUCCGUACUAAUAAACUUGGCUCCUCCUCCUUUACCCACAUCUUCAUCAUCUUUAAAAUCUGAGAUCAACUAAUGUUUGCAGGGGAGGUUUUUCUUGUGGUCCAUUGUAUCAAUCAGUAACCCCAGCAUCAGUGAAAGGUGGUUUUUGAUAGCAACAUUAGCUUCUUGUCCUUGAUCUAUCGGAUCAAAGUUCAGUGUCCCUCAAGAACCAAAUAGCAGUUGCUUUCAGGAAAUACAAAUCCGGGUUUAUUUAAGAUGAAGAUGUAACUUUAGUUAGAAGCCAUGAGUUGGAUCGAUGGUGGUGGUGAUAGCAUGAUAAAGUGGGACAAAGGUUCAUGCGAGGCCUUGUGCAAUUUUCUGACUCAUAAAUAUGUUCCAAUUGCAUGCUAUGAAUGCACUAUGCAGAUCCUUCUACUUGAAAAACUACUAAGCAGCAACAUGGCACCCCAAGAGGGCCUAAUGGUCAUGCUCAAAUUACCAAUGCACCCUCUUUUAAAGGACGACUAUGCAUGAUCUCAAGUCUUCAAUGUAAUGAAUUUGUAAUUUUGUACUCCAUGGCAGCUUGCAAGUGUGCUUCAUUUAGAUCAUAUGCUCUUGUACCUGCUGAAGAGAGUUCCCCUUGGAAACUUCAAAACCUGUCACUUUUUUAAUCCUUUACCGAAUACUAGCUUUGUUUAUUAUAGCAGUAAGUCUAAGAUUUUGCAUUCUAUGGUUGUAAUAGUACUGUUGAAUUUUAAUUCCCCGAUGCUGUUUGCAGCAGAUAGUAUUAAAUUAUUAUGGUCACGUGAGUUAUGUAUGAAUAGUGAAAGUUUGAUUUCCUGUGUAAUAAUAUCAUAUUGUGAGUUAAUCUU